rnacentral:rRNA from 1 species
GACGAACGCUGGCGGCGUGCUUAACACAUGCAAGUCGAACGGAAAGGCCCUGCUUUUGUGGGGUGCUCGAGUGGCGAACGGGUGAGUAACACGUGAGUAACCUGCCCUUGACUUUGGGAUAACUUCAGGAAACUGGGGCUAAUACCGGAUAGGAGCUCCUGCUGCAUGGUGGGGGUUGGAAAGUUUCGGCGGUUGGGGAUGGACUCGCGGCUUAUCAGCUUGUUGGUGGGGUAGUGGCUCACCAAGGCUUUGACGGGUAGCCGGCCUGAGAGGGUGACCGGCCACAUUGGGACUGAGACACGGCCCAGACUCCUACGGGAGGCAGCAGUGGGGAAUAUUGCACAAUGGGCGGAAGCCUGAUGCAGCAACGCCGCGUGCGGGAUGACGGCCUUCGGGUUGUAAACCGCUUUCGCCUGUGACGAAGCGUGAGUGACGGUAAUGGGUAAAGAAGCACCGGCUAACUACGUGCCAGCAGCCGCGGUGAUACGUAGGGUGCGAGCGUUGUCCGGAUUUAUUGGGCGUAAAGGGCUCGUAGGUGGUUGAUCGCGUCGGAAGUGUAAUCUUGGGGCUUAACCCUGAGCGUGCUUUCGAUACGGGUUGACUUGAGGAAGGUAGGGGAGAAUGGAAUUCCUGGUGGAGCGGUGGAAUGCGCAGAUAUCAGGAGGAACACCAGUGGCGAAGGCGGUUCUCUGGGCCUUUCCUGACGCUGAGGAGCGAAAGCGUGGGGAGCGAACAGGCUUAGAUACCCUGGUAGUCCACGCUGUAAACGGUGGGUACUAGGUGUGGGGUCCAUUCCACGGGUUCCGUGCCGUAGCUAACGCUUUAAGUACCCCGCCUGGGGAGUACGGCCGCAAGGCUAAAACUCAAAGGAAUUGACGGGGCCCCGCACGAGCGGCGGAGCAUGCGGAUUAAUUCGAUGCAACGCGUAGAACCUUACCUGGGUUUGACAUGGAUCGGGAGUGCUCAGAGAUGGGUGUGCCUCUUUUGGGGUCGGUUCACAGGUGGUGCAUGGCUGUCGUCAGCUCGUGUCGUGAGAUGUUGGGUUAAGUCCCGCAACGAGCGCAACCCUUGUUCACUGUUGCCAGCACGUUAUGGUGGGGACUCAGUGGAGACCGCCGGGGUCAACUCGGAGGAAGGUGGGGAUGACGUCAAGUCAUCAUGCCCCUUAUGUCCAGGGCUUCACGCAUGCUACAAUGGCUGGUACAGAGAGUGGCGAGCCUGUGAGGGUGAGCGAAUCUCGGAAAGCCGGUCUCAGUUCGGAUUGGGGUCUGCAACUCGACCUCAUGAAGUCGGAGUCGCUAGUAAUCGCAGAUCAGCAACGCUGCGGUGAAUACGUUCCCGGGGCU